rnacentral:rRNA from 1 species
CGGGUGCACUGAUCCGGCCGGGCCUUUCCCUCUGUGGAACCCCAUGGCCUUCACUGGCUGUGCGGGGGAAACAGGACUUUUACUGUGAAAAAAUUAGAGUGCUCCAGGCAGGCCUAUGCUCGAAUACAUUAGCAUGGAAUAAUAGAAUAGGACGCGUGGUUCUAUUUUGUUGGUUUCUAGGACCGCCGUAAUGAUUAAUAGGGACAGUCGGGGGCAUCAGUAUUCAAUUGUCAGAGGUGAAAUUCUUGGGUCUAUUGAAGACUAACUACUGCGAAAGCAUUUGCCAAGGAUGUUUUCAUUGAUAAGGAACGAAAGUUAGGGGAUCGAAGACGAUCAGAUACCGUCGUAGUCUUAACUAUAAACUAUGCCGACUAGGGAUCGGACGAUGUUAUUUCUUGACGCGUUCGGCACCUUUCGAGAAAUCAAAGUGCUUGGGCUCCAGGGGGAGUAUGGUCGCAAGGCUGAGACUUAAAGAAAUUGACGGAAGGGCACCACCAGGGGUGGAACCUGCGGCUUAAUUUGACUCAACACGGGGAAACUCACCAGGUCCAGACACAAUGAGGAUUGACAGAUUGAGAGCUCUUUCUUGAUUUUGUGGGUGGUGGUGCAUGGCCGUUCUUAGUUGGUGGAGUGAUUUGUCUGCUUAAUUGCGAUAACGAACGAGACCUUAACCUGCUAAAUAGCCCGUACUGCUCUGGCAGUUCGCCGGCUUCUUAGAGGGACUAUCGG